ensembl:lncRNA
ACAGACCUUGGUAUUCGAAAGUCUUCUUAAAUUUUAGUUUUAAUGUAUCUCGUCAUUAUCCAAAAUUCGUCCAUUCUGGUGGAUCCGAGGAAGGAGCGAAGGAUUUGUGGGUUCACACAGAGGGACACAGGUGGCUCAAUCUCCACUAGGCUGAGGAGACAAUUUGUCAAGACCCCUUGCCAUGAUUAACCUCCCUCUACAUCGGAGUGGAGAAAAGUGGAAGAAGAGGAGGAAAGGAAGAUGGAAGUGACACAGGAGGAAGAUGAGAAAAGAGUGAAGAGAGAGGAAGAGAGACAAGCAAGGAGAGAGAUUUAGGGAGAGGUGAGGGGAGCGGGAGGACACGCUGUUGAUGCCCCAGUGACUCUGAGCGGGUCGUCUCACAAUCACAUUUAUCCCUCAGAGUUCCUCAUCCGGAUCCUUUCCCAGGACACAUCCCACAGCUCACCGCCCGGGAGAAGUCUAUGAGCACAGCUGAGGCAGCCUCCCGACUAUGAAGUUCCCAGAAACAGCCCUCUUUAUCAGGUGUCGCUCCUGGGCCAUAGCGGAAAUGUGGGCAGGUAGUAGAGCGAAGCAGAGAGACAUGAAGGAAAUGAAUGCCAGUGGCCUGGAGUCAACCUUUCUGUCAGGACAGCAUGGUGUGAGGAACACAGCACAAUCACAGUUGUCCCAGACAAUGCCACAGGACAACAGUAUAAACAAAAAUUACACCAUGCUCUUAAAGGAGUGGAGCGGAUAAAUAACAGUUACAUGUUUAUACAUAAACGUAAUACUUUACAGAAAGUGCUUCAUAAAUAGUAUUUGGGGUAACGUGUUCACAAUAUAACAUGUGUUUCAUUUAAAAUAAAAUGCCUUUUAUUUAUUCGAUUUAUUUACUU